rfam:Dorea longicatena CAG:42 genomic scaffold, scf45
AAAUACAAGGUUCUCCGAAGCCUUCAUGCCUAAGAUCCAUAAAAAUUGUGAUGAUGGGAUGUCGGCCAGGAAUGACAGGUCUGUCAGUUCCUCAGGGUAGAUAGGGAAACGUAUCUGCCUCCCGCGUAUUUGGAAAGGAGAGCAGCACCUUUGUUU